CCCCCACCUCUCUCUCUCUCUCUCUCUCGCAUCCCCAUCUCUCUCUUCCUUCACUCUCUCUCUCUCUCUCACCCCCCAUCUCUCUUCCUUCACUCUCUCGCUCUCUCUCACCCCCCCAUCUCUCUUCCUUCACUCUCUCUCUCUCGCAUCCCCCAAUCUCUCUUCCUUCACUCUCUCUCUCUCGCACCCCCCCCAUCUCUCUCUCUCGCAUCCCCCCCAUCUCUCUCUUCCUUCACUCUCUCUCGCAUCCCCCAUCUCUCUCUUCCUUCUCUCUCUCUCUCUCUCUCGCAUCACCCCCAUCUCUCUCUUCCUUCACUCUCUCUGUCUCUCGCACCCCCCCAUGUCUCUCUUCCUUCACGCUCUUUCUCGCACCCCCCAUGUCUCUCUUCCUUCACUCUCUUUCUCGCACCCCCCCAUCUCUCUCUUCCUUCACUCUCUCUCUCUCGCACCCCCCCACCUCUCUCUUCCUUCACUCUCUCUCUCGCACCCCCCCAUCUCUCUCUUCCUUCACUCUCUCUCUCUCUCGCACCCCCCAUCUCUCUCUUCCUUCACUCUCUCUCUCUCGCACCCCCCAUCUCUCUCUUCCUUCACUCUCUCUCUCUCGCACCCCCCCCACCUCUCUCUUCCUUCACUCUCUCUCUCGCACCCACCACCUCUCUCUUCCUUCACUCUCUCUUUCUCGCACCCCCCCACCUCUCUUCCUUCACUCUCUCUCUCUCGCAUCCCCCCAUCUCUCUCUUCCUUCACUCUCUCUCUCUCUCUCGCAUCCCCCCAUCUCUCUCUUCCUUCACACUCUCUCUCGAAUCCCCCCCAUCUCUCUCUUCCUUCACUCUCUCUCUUGCAUCCCCCCAUCUCUCUCUUCCUUCACUCUCUCUCUCUCUUGCAUCCCCCAUCUCUCUCUUCCUUCUCUCUCUCUCGCAUCCCCCCCAUCUCUCUCUUCCUUCACUCUCUCUCUCUCGCAUUCCCCCCAUCUCUCUCUUCCUUCACUCUCUCUCUCUCGCAUCCCCCCAUCUCUCUUCCUUCACUCUCUCUCUCUCGCACCCCCCAUCUCUCUUCCUUCACUCUCUCUCUCUCGCAUCCCCCCAUCUCUCUCUUCCUUCACUCUCUCUCUCUCGCACCCCCAUCUCUCUUCCUUCACUCUCUCUCUCUCGCACCCCCCAUCUCUCUUCCUUCACUCUCUCUCUCUCGCAUCCCCCCCAUCUCUCUCUUCCUUCACUCUCUCUCUCUCGCAUCCCCCCCAUCUCUCUCUUCCUGCACUCUCUCUCUCUCGCAUUCCCCCCCAUCUCUCUCUUCCUUCACUCUCUCUCUCUCGCAUCCCCCCAUCUCUCUCUUCCUUCACUCUCUCUCUCUCGCAUCCCCCCCAUCUCUCUCUUCCUUCACUCUCUCUCUCUCGCAUCCCCCCCAUCUCUCUCU
rnacentral:lncRNA from 1 species